UCGUAGGGAAUACUGGGUAAAUCUGGACCCUUCCUUGGUUACAAACUGGUCACCAAGGAAGGCCUAGGCCAAACCACCACAACAAGGAACUGGUGAGGAAAUGAACCCAAAGGCACUGUGCCAUCUCCAGGGCGGAUUCCUGCUAAGUGGUCUGUAUAGCACCACUGAUGUGCAAAAGAACAAGAAGUAAAAAUGCCAGAGUUCCUCCUCCUCUCAUUUUUCGUGGUAUAUGGACAGAACUGGUGGAAUGUGAGACUCAGGGGAUAAGAAAGAUGUGGCACUCGAUUCUGCUUUUUAAAGAGUAUCCUAAUUUUUCAGGUGACAUGGAAGUCGUCUUGACCUAGAGCUCUAGAACUGUGAACAAUCUUAUCUCUACUUAACCUGCAAAACCAUCAGAUAUUUCUGGGCAGAGAAUACAAAGCUACAUGGGCCAGCAACAUGACAAAUGGUAUAAUAUGUUAAUUAAAUCAGCAUAGUACAGUACCAUUGUGUUCCUGGGUAGCCUUUUUCAUUUUGAGCACCUCAA